AACGUCCCUACACUAGUGGUGUUCUGACAAUUUAAAACGUUCACACAUGCUAGACACUCUGGAUGACGUCACUGAGGAUCCGGAUAUGAAGAAAACGGAAUUCAAAGAUAAACAAAUAAUUCCCAGUGCAGGAUGUUUGUGCGUAAGUGUUGAUCCUGAGAGGUGCGUGUGUGUGCUUCUUACGCCCUGCUUCACGCUGUGGCUCGCGCUGUGCUUCACGUUGUGGCUCGCGAUGUGCUUCAUGUCGUGGCUCGCGCUGUGCUUCACGUUGUGGCUCGCGCUGUGCUUCACAUUGUGGCUCGCGCUGUGCUUCACGCUGUGACUCGCGCUAGGCUAUACCUGACAUGAUUUACGCUUUGAUUUGCCCUGCUUCACGCUGUACGUUACAGUGACUCACUGCUGUGUAACGAGUCAUACCACUGUGAUUCGUUACAGUGACAAUGGGACAUCACAUACAAUCUCGCGAGCCGCUACCAAUUUUUUAGUACAUCAGUUUUUGACCUUAGAGCGAAAUUAUACUGCAAAAUUAAGAUAAGGGAUAGGAGGAGUGGCUUGGCAAAAAUGUAAAAACAUCAAUGCUAUGUACUCUCAUAAACCCAAUGUACCUUGUUGUAUAUAUAUCAAUAAAUAAAUAAAUAAGGAAGAGAGAGGUGAGGGACUGAGAAUUUUAUCGCAGUGUCUUCGCGAUAAUUAGCACGUCGGCCCCACCCCCAAACUUAUUAUAAAUUAAUAAUUAUAUUAUAUAGAGCAACGAUGCGUAUUCGUACUUUUCAUGACGAAAUAUGGCGAUUAAUCAGAGUCCUAUCAUAUAAUACGUUCCCCCUUUUUUUUUACAAAGUCGAUCAAUCCGUUCAAAAUCUAACCCAUUAGUUACAAUUAAAGCACCAUAAUAUUGGUGUUUUCUAUCCGUCGGCCUCGAUGGGUUAGGUGGGUUGCUUGUUUACGUAUGUUUCUGAUUAGGGAAACCGGUUAUAUUUUUACAUUUGUGAUUAGGCAAACAGUUGCAGUUUUGACGUAUAUGGUUAGCCAAAAUAGUUGCCGGAAUAGGCUGGAAACAAAAACAUGAUGCAACUCUGAAAUGCGAAAAUAUUCCUAAAAAUAAAGAAAUUUUUGUGUUGAGUCACAACAGGGAUCAGAUGGAAGGAGAAUAAUGAAAACAGUGAUAAAGGAGUAAGAUGGACAACAGUGAAGAGACAAGGACAACACGGGCUGCUGGAUGAUCAACAAUUAUAAAUUAAGGUACAAGAGGAUGGUAUAGGAGGACUAUAAAGAACCAGACCUCACUUCCCCGUAGACAUUUAGACAUUAUAAGCGCGAAUUCCUCACUGGGGCAAGAUUAAGCGACUCCCAGGAGAUGGAGACGCCACUGGAGAAAGCCUUCAGGAAGAUUAACAUCAUCUCAUUAUACAUAAGAAAAAUGUAAGGAAAUAUAAGGUUUAUGAAUGAAUAUUUCACAAAACUAGAGAUUUUCCAGCGACCAGCUAGUUGCUUAUACUUGUGUCGUUGAGUUUAUUGAUUUAUUGGUAUUUAUUUAUAUAUAAGAAGGUAUAUUGGGUUUGUUAGAGGAGAUAACAUUGGUGAUUUUACAUUCUUGCAAAGUCACUAACACCUAUGGUAGAUCCGUAUUUGUUCUGCAAGUAUAAAAUAAAAUAAAAUCAAUUGUCAAAAUUCAAAAUGUUUAUUCAGGUAAAAGUACAUACAUAGAAGACGAGUUACAAAUAUAAUAUUGGAUCUAUAGAUAGAGCAAGCACAUACAAUAUCUAAAUACGCAUAUAGCGUUUCGGGGCAAAUCCUUUAAUUUCAAACAUAUUAGAAAAGAAAACAAAAAACUUUUAGUGGUUAAGUCUGUUAAAUACCACGAAUCACAACAAUAAUUUGGGUCACAGGUGAAUAUAACAUCAAUUAUAAUUUAGAAUUAUAACUUUGUUCAUUUCACUAUCUUCACUUCCCCCUCCCUCCCCCCCCCAGGUAACACAAUCAAAGAAAACGGUGAGCGUGUAAGAGGAAGAGAAGUGACGGUGUGACGUCAUCACAACACUGUUCCGAACCUUAAUGGAAUCUGACCCAUAUAUCAAUCAGGUCAACCCAUGUGUUGCGUUGACAAAAGGGUCGCCCAUGUUAGAAUCGGUGAACGCCCUAGUAAUA